GCUUUGCUACACUAAAAGUUAGAACUAUAUUGGGAAUGAUGCAGAGAAGAUUAGCACGGACCCUGAGCCAGGAUGACGCGCAAAUUUGUGGGGUUCCAUAUUCUA
ensembl:snRNA U6 U6 spliceosomal RNA